ACAGGAUUAAGUUAGUUUAGACUGAAUGUUUUCAAAACAUUUAGCGAUGUUUAAAGUCAUCCUGUG
rnacentral:tRNA from 1 species